rnacentral:sRNA from 1 species
GCAGCUACUGGCCCCCCCAGCCCAUGGGACCGUAGUCGUGGAGGCCUCUGCAGAGGCGCAGGCUGGAAGCGGUGGCCUUUGAGGGGGGCGGCAGGAGAGAGUGCCGACCUCCUUCGAACUCCUGGCAGGAGAGCUGGCGGUCACCAUGGCAAUGCGGGAGCUGGUGGAGGCCGAAUGCGGGGGUGCCAACCCGCUCAUGAAGCUAGCCGGGCACUUCACCCAGGACAAGGCCCUUCGGCAGGAGGGAUUGAGGCCUGGCCCCUGGCCCCCCGGAGCCCCAGCCUCUGAGGCAGUGAGUGUUCUUGAGGUGGAAAGCCCAGGUGGUGGUCUGAGGUGGAGGGGCUGUUUGCACAUCUUGGUAUAACUGCUUUCUCUAUUGUGUUGCAAUCAUAGUAGUUACCACUUACUGAGCGUUUACUAAACACUAGAAAACCCUGUGCACCUUUAAAUAAAUGCAACCAUUUUAUA